rnacentral:rRNA from 1 species
AACGAACGCUGGCGGCAUGCCUAACACAUGCAAGUCGAACGAGACCUUCGGGUCUAGUGGCGCACGGGUGCGUAACGCGUGGGAACCUGCCCUUAGGUUCGGAAUAACUCCCCGAAAGGGGUGCUAAUACCGGAUAAUGUCUUCGGGCCAAAGAUUUAUCGCCUUUGGAUGGGCCCGCGUUGGAUUAGCUAGUUGGUAGGGUAAAAGCCUACCAAGGCGACGAUCCAUAGCUGGUCUGAGAGGAUGAUCAGCCACACUGGGACUGAGACACGGCCCAGACUCCUACGGGAGGCAGCAGUGGGGAAUAUUGGACAAUGGGCGAAAGCCUGAUCCAGCAAUGCCGCGUGAGUGAUGAAGGCCUUAGGGUUGUAAAGCUCUUCUACCCGGGAUGAUAAUGACAGUACCGGGAGAAUAAGCUCCGGCUAACUCCGUG